GACGAACGCUGGCGGCGUGCCUAAUACAUGCAAGUAGAACGCUGAAGAGAGGAGCUUGCUCUUCUUGGAUGAGUUGCGAACGGGUGAGUAACGCGUAGGUAACCUGCCUUGUAGCGUGGGAUAACUAUUGGAAACGAUAGCUAAUACCGCAUAAUAAUGGAUGACACAUGUCAUUUAUUUGAAAGAGGCAAUUGCUCCACUAUAAGAUUGACCUGCGUUGUAUUAGCUAGUAGGUGAGGUAAUGGACUACCUAGGAGACGAUACAUAGCCGACCUGAGGGGGUGAUCGGCCACACUGGGACUGAGACACGGCCCAGACUCCUACGGGAGGCAGCAGUAGGGAAUCUUCGGCAAUGGGGGCAACCCUGACCGAGCAACGCCGCGUGAGUGAAGAAGGUUUUCGGAUCGUAAAGCUCUGUUGUAAGUCAAGAACGGGUGUGAGAGUGGAAAGUUCACACUGUGACGGUAGCUUACCAGAAAGGGACGGCUAACUACGUG
rnacentral:rRNA from 1 species